rnacentral:misc_RNA from 1 species
AAGUCGUAACAAGGUUUCCGUAGGUGAACCUGCGGAAGGAUCAUUAUUGAAUAAAAUUGGCUGGGUUGUUGCUGGCUUUCAGGAGCAUGUGCACACUCAGUGUCAUUUUAUUAACCACUUGUGCACUUUAUGUAGAACUUGAGACUCUCGAGGACGCUCGGAUUUGAGGACGUGCCUUUUCUGGUUGAAGGGCUGUUCUUGUGCUCUAGGUCUAUGAUCUCUUUACACACUCUAUGAAUGUAACAGAAUGUUUAUAUAUUGGCCUUUGUGCCUUUAAUACAAUACAACUUUCAACAACGGAUCUCUUGGCUCUC